UACGAAGGGGGCUAGCGUUGCUCGGAAUCACUGGGCGUAAAGCGCACGUAGGCGGAUUGUUAAGUCAGGGGUGAAAUCCUGGAGCUCAACUCCAGAACUGCCUUUGAUACUGGCGAUCUCGAGUCCGGGAGAGGUGAGUGGAACUGCGAGUGUAGAGGUGAAAUUCGUAGAUAUUCGCAAGAACACCAGUGGCGAAGGCGGCUCACUGGACCGGUAUUGACGCUGAGGUGCGAAAGCGUGGGGAGCAAACAGGG
rnacentral:rRNA from 1 species